UCAAAUUUCUUCCCUAUCAACUUUCGAUGCGAAGGUAUUGUCUUCGCAUGGUUGCAACGGGUAACGGAGGGUUAGGGCUCGACCCCGGAGAAGGAGCCUGAGAAACGGCUACUACAUCCAAGGAAGGCAGCAGGCGCGCAAAUUACCCAAUCCCGACACGGGGAGGUAGUGACAAUAAAUACUGAUACAGGGCUCUUUUGGGUCUUGUAAUCGGAAUGAGUACAAUUUAAAUCCCUUAACGAGGAACAAUUGGAGGGCAAGUCUGGUGCCAGCAGCCGCGGUAAUUCCAGCUCCAAUAGCGUAUAUUAAAGUUGUUGUGGUUAAAAAGCUCGUAGUUGAACCUUGGGCCUGGCUGGCCGGUCCCCCUCACCGGGUGCACUGAUCCAGCCGGGCCUUUCCCUCUGUGGAACCCCAUGGCCUUCACUGGCUGUGGCGGGGAAACAGGACUUUUACUUUGAAAAAAUUAGAGUGCUCCAGGCAGGCCUAUGCUCGAAUACAUUAGCAUGGAAUAAUAGAAUA
rnacentral:rRNA from 1 species